GGAAAGACUUUAAGUUAAAAAAACUAAUAACCUUCAAAGUUAUAAAUAAAUAAAAAUUUAAGUCUUA
rnacentral:tRNA from 1 species